AUUGAACGCUGGCGGAAUGCUUUACACAUGCAAGUCGAGCGGCAGCACGGGGGCAACCCUGGUGGCGAGCGGCGAACGGGUGAGUAAUACAUUGGAACAUGCCCAGUCGUGGGGGAUAACACUUCGAAAGAAGUGCUAAUACCGCAUACGUCCUGAGGGAGAAAGCGGGGGAUCUUCGGACCUCGCGCGAUUGGAGUGGCGGAUGUCAGAUUGGCUAGUUGGUGGGGUAAAGGCCAACCAAGGCAACGAUCUGUAGCUGGUCUGAGAGGUUGAUCAGCCACACUGGGACUGAGACCCGGCCCAGACUCCUACGGGAGGCAGCAGUGGGGAAUUUUGGACAAUGGGGGCAACCCUGAUUCAGCCAUUCCGCGUGAGUGAAGAAGGCCUUCGGGUUGUAAAGCUCUUUCGGCAGGAACGAAACGGCGAGCUCUAACAUAGCUUGCUAAUGACGGUACCUGAAGAAGAAGCACCGGCUAACUACGUGCCAGCCGCCGCUGUAACAC
rnacentral:rRNA from 1 species